rnacentral:rRNA from 1 species
GACGAACGCUGGCGGCGUGCCUAAUACAUGCAAGUUGAGCGCUGAAGGUUGGUACUUGUACCAACUGGAUGAGCAGCGAACGGGUGAGUAACGCGUGGGGAAUCUGCCUUUGAGCGGGGGACAACAUUUGGAAACGAAUGCUAAUACCGCAUAAAAACUUUAAACACAAGUUUUAAGUUUGAAAGAUGCAAUUGCAUCACUCAAAGAUGAUCCCGCGUUGUAUUAGCUAGUUGGUGAGGUAAAGCUCACCAAGGCGAUGAUACAUAGCCGACCUGAGAGGGUGAUCGGCCACAUUGGGACUGAGACACGGCCCAAACUCCUACGGGAGGCAGCAGUAGGGAAUCUUCGGCAAUGGACGAAAGUCUGACCGAGCAACGCCGCGUGAGUGAAGAAGGUUUUCGGAUCGUAAAACUCUGUUGGUAGAGAAGAACGUUGGUGAGAGUGGAAAGCUCAUCAAGUGACGGUAACUACCCAGAAAGGGACGGCUAACUACGUG